rnacentral:rRNA from 1 species
CGGCAACAGCUCAAAUUUGAAAUCUGGCUCUUUCAGGGUCCGAGUUGUAAUUUGCAGAGGGAGCUUUCGAGUUGGCAGCGGUCUAAGUUCCUUGGAACAGGACGUCACAGAGGGUGAGAGCCCCGUACGGUUGGAUGCCUAGCCUCUGUGAAACUCCUUCGAC